rnacentral:rRNA from 1 species
UACGUAGGGUGCGAGCGUUAAUCGGAAUUACUGGGCGUAAAGCGUGCGCAGGCGGUUCGUUAAGUCAGCUGUGAAAGCCCCGGGCUUAACCUGGGAAUGGCGGUUGAAACUGGCGAACUUGAAUCUGGCAGAGGGGGGUGGAAUUCCACGUGUAGCAGUGAAAUGCGUAGAUAUUCGCAAGAACACCAGUGGCGAAGGCGGCUCACUGGCCCGAUACUGACGCUGAGGCACGAAAGCGUGGGGAGCAAACAGG